AUUUAUAUAAUUUAAAAAAAAUAUUACAUUUUCAUUGUAAAAUUAAAAUAUUAAUUUUUAUAAAUA
rnacentral:tRNA from 1 species